rnacentral:rRNA from 1 species
AUUGAACGCUAGCGGCAUGCUUAACACAUGCAAGUCGAACGGCAGCGCGAGGAGCUUGCUCCUUGGCGGCGAGUGGCGGACGGGUGAGUAACGCGUAGGAAUCUGCCUUGUAGUGGGGGACAACCCGGGGAAACUCGGGCUAAUACCGCAUAAUCUCUACGGAGCAAAGUGGGGGAUCUUAGGACCUCACGCUAUAAGAUGAGCCUGCGUCGGAUUAGCUUGUUGGUGGGGUAAAGGCCUACCAAGGCGACGAUCCGUAGCUGGUCUGAGAGGACGAUCAGCCACACUGGGACUGAGACACGGCCCAGACUCCUACGGGAGGCAGCAGUGGGGAAUAUUGGACAAUGGGGGCAACCCUGAUCCAGCAAUGCCGCGUGUGUGAAGAAGGCCUUCGGGUUGUAAAGCACUUUUCAGUAGGGAAGAAAGAUUCGAGAUUAAUACCCUCGGAAAUUGACGUUACCUACAGAAGAAGCACUGGCUAACUCUGU